rnacentral:rRNA from 1 species
CCUCGGGGUGCAGCAGUGGGGAAUAUUGCACAAUGGGCGCAAGCCUGAUGCAGCCAUGCCGCGUGUAUGAAGAAGGCCUUCGGGUUGUAAAGUACUUUCAGCGGGGAGGAAGGGAGUAAAGUUAAUACCUUUGCUCAUUGACGUUACCCGCAGAAGAAGCACCGGCUAACUCCGUGCCAGCAGCCGCGGUAAUACGGAGGGUGCAAGCGUUAAUCGGAAUUACUGGGCGUAAAGCGCACGCAGGCGGUUUGUUAAGUCAGAUGUGAAAUCCCCGGGCUCAACCUGGGAACUGCAUCUGAUACUGGCAAGCUUGAGUCUCGUAGAGGGGGGUAGAAUUCCAGGUGUAGCGGUGAAAUGCGUAGAGAUCUGGAGGAAUACCGGUGGCGAAGGCGGCCCCCUGGACGAAGACUGACGCUCAGGUGCGAAAGCGUGGGGAGCAAACAGGAUUAGAUACCCCCGUAGUC